AGAGUUUGAUCAUGGCUCAGGACGAACGCUGGCGGCGUGCCUAAUACAUGCAAGUCGAACGAACUCUGGUAUUGAUUGGUGCUUGCAUCAUGAUUUACAUUUGAGUGAGUGGCGAACUGGUGAGUAACACGUGGGAAACCUGCCCAGAAGCGGGGGAUAACACCUGGAAACAGAUGCUAAUACCGCAUAACAACUUGGACCGCAUGGUCCGAGCUUGAAAGAUGGCUUCGGCUAUCACUUUUGGAUGGUCCCGCGGCGUAUUAGCUAGAUGGUGGGGUAACGGCUCACCAUGGCAAUGAUACGUAGCCGACCUGAGAGGGUAAUCGGCCACAUUGGGACUGAGACACGGCCCAAACUCCUACGGGAGGCAGCAGUAGGGAAUCUUCCACAAUGGACGAAAGUCUGAUGGAGCAACGCCGCGUGAGUGAAGAAGGGUUUCGGCUCGUAGAACUCUGUUGUUAAAGAAGAACAUAUCUGAGAGUAACUGUUCAGGUAUUGACGGUAUUUAACCAGAAAGCCACGGCUAACUACGUGCCAGCAGCCGCGGUAAUACGUAGGUGGCAAGCGUUGUCCGGAUUUAUUGGGCGUAAAGCGAGCGCAGGCGGUUUUUUAAGUCUGAUGUGAAAGCCUUCGG
rnacentral:rRNA from 1 species